UAGUCCACGCCGUAAACGAUGAUUACCCGCUGUAGGCGAUACACAGUCUGUGGCUAAGCGAAAGUUUUAAGUAAUCCACCUGGGGAGUACGGUCGCAAGAUUAAAACUCAAAGGAAUUGACGGGGACCCGCACAAGCGGUGGAGCAUGUGGUUUAAUUCGAGGCAACGCGAAGAACCUUACCAGACCUUGACAUGCCUCUCGCGGAUUUCAGAGAUGAUUUCCUUCAGUUCGGCUGGAGAGUGCACAGGUGCUGCAUGGCUGUCGUCAGCUCGUGUCGUGAGAUGUUGGGUUAAGUCCCGCAACGAGCGCAACCCUCAUUUUUAGUUACCAUCAUUUAGUUGGGUACUCUAGAGAAACUGCCGGGGUCAACCCGGAGGAAGGUGGGGAUGACGUCAAGUCUUCAUGGCCCUUAUGGUCUGGGCUACACACGUGCUACAAUGGCAAAUACAAUGAGCAGCGAUCCCGCGAGGGUCAGCUAAUCUCCAAAAUUUGUCUCAGUUCGGAUC
rnacentral:rRNA from 1 species